rnacentral:lncRNA from 1 species
AUACUUACAAAACAGGUCUCAACAGAUACAAGAAUAUUGAAAUAAUCCCAUGCAUCCUAUCUGAUCACCAUGACUAAGGCUGGUCUUCAUUAACAACAAUAAUGACAGCCCACAUACACAUGGAACCUGAACAAUGCUCUACUCAGUUAUUACUUGGUCAAGGAAGAAAUAAAGAAAUUAAAGACUUUUCAGAAUUUAGUGAAAAUAAAGGUACAACAUACCCAAAAUUAUGGGACACAAUGAAAGCAGUACUAAGAGGAAAACUCAUAGCUCUGAAUGCCUCCAAAAAGAAAGUGGAGAGAGCAUACAUCAGCAGCUUGUACAGCACACUGAAAAGCUCUAGAACAAAAAGAAGCAAAUACACCUAAGAGGAGUGGACAGCAGGAAAUAGUCAAACUCAAGGUUGGAAUCAACCAAGUAAAAACAAAAAGGACUAUACAAAGUAUCAACAAAGCCAGGAGCUGGUUCUUUGUGAAAAUCCACAAGAUAGAUAAACCCUUAGCCAGACAAACCAAAGGGCACAGAGAGUGUAUCUAAAUUAGCAAAAUCAGAAAUGAAAAGGAAGACAUAACAGAAUCUGAGGAAAUAAAAAAAAAAAA